rnacentral:rRNA from 1 species
UACCAGCACCCCGAGUGGUCGGGACGUUUAUUGGGCCUAAAGCAUCCGUAGCCGGUUCUACAAGUCUUCCGUUAAAUCCACCUGCUCAACAAGAUGGGCUGCGGAAGAUACUAUGGAGCUAGGAGGCGGGAGAGGCAAGCGGUACUCGAUGGGUAGGGGUAAAAUCCGUUGAUCCAUUGAAGACCACCAGUGGCGAAGGCGGCUUGCCAGAACGCGCUCGACGGUGAGGGAUGAAAGCUGGGGAGCA